UACGGGGGGGGUAAGCGUUGUUCGGAAUUACUGGGCGUAAAGCGUGCGCAGGCGGUUAUGCAAGACAGAUGUGAAAUCCCCGGGCUCAACCUGGGAACUGCAUUUGUGACUGCAUGGCUGGAGUGCGGCAGAGGGGGAUGGAAUUCCGCGUGUAGCAGUGAAAUGCGUAGAUAUGCGGAGGAACACCGAUGGCGAAGGCAAUCCCCUGGGCCUGCACUGACGCUCAUGCACGAAAGCGUGGGGAGCAAACAGG
rnacentral:rRNA from 1 species